rnacentral:rRNA from 1 species
AUAUUGCACAAUGGGGGAAACCCUGAUGCAGCCAUGCCGCGUGUGUGAAGAAGGCCUUCGGGUUGUAAAGCACUUUCAGUAGGGAGGAAAGGUAGCAGCUUAAUACGCUGUUGCUGUGACGUUACCUACAGAAGAAGGACCGGCUAACUCCGUGCCAGCAGCCGCGGUAAUACGGAGGGUCCGAGCGUUAAUCGGAAUUACUGGGCGUAAAGCGUGCGCAGGCGGUUUGUUAAGCGAGAUGUGAAAGCCCCGGGCUCAACCUGGGAAUUGCAUUUCGAACUGGCGAACUAGAGUCUUGUAGAGGGGGGUAGAAUUCCAGGUGUAGCGGUGAAAUGCGUAGAGAUCUGGAGGAAUACCGGUGGCGAAGGCGGCCCCCUGGACAAAGACUGACGCUCAGGCACGAAAGCGUGGGGAGCAAACAGGAUUAGAUACCCUGGUAGUCCACGCCGUAAACGAUGUCUACUCGGAGUUUGGUGUCUUGAACACUGGGCUCUCAAGCUAACGCAUUAAGUAGACCGCCUGGGGAGUACGGCCGCAAGGUUAAAACUCAAAUGAAUUGACGGGGGCCCCGCACAAGA